rnacentral:tRNA from 1 species
CGGACUUGAUUGCAUUGAGCCUUGGAAAAUCCGUCGACUUUAGAAAUCGUGAGGGUUC